AAAUAUAAAGUGGCACUUUAGGGACGCCUGGGUGGCUCAGCAGUUGAGCAUCUGCCUUCUCAGCUCAGGAUGUGAUCCCAGAAUUUUGGAAUUGAGUCCUGCAUUGGGCUCCUGCAUGGAGCCUGCUUCUCCUCCCUGUGCCUAUGUCUCUGCGUCUCUCUGUGUCUCUCAUAAUAAAUAAAUAAAAUAUUUUUAAAUAAAUAAAUAAAUAAAUAAAUAAAUAAAUAAUAAAGUGGCACUUUAGGUGUAUGGUAGGGAGAGGAUGUAGAACCCUGGGAAAGACACUCUGCUUCUUGGCAUUUAUCCCCAAUAGUAGGCCAUUGUAGGCUUUAGAAAUACUUGCUGGUUCUUCUUGCUUGUUGUAGGAAGCCCCAGUUCUACAGUCCAAGUGUUGGUCUCAUGUAUACUCUAAGAAAAGGUAUUUUUCUGGAGCCAGCUGCUCUCCAAGAAGAUAAGUUAACAGUUGCCAGUUAUGGCCAAUGUGGAAUACUUCUGUCUUAUACUUUUGGAUGUCACCAGAGUGAAUUUAUGUUACUUCUGCCAUGUGUCUGGAAGCACUAGUCACCUGGGAUCAUGUCAAUCCAAUUUUGGAGGCUGAAUAAUUAAAGCUGAGUUGCUCUCCCUCUAAAGGCCUAUUUACUUCUGGUUCAACCUUAACUCCCAGUGUGGAGGCAUGUCUUGAGGUCUCAAUCUAAAGGGAGGAGGGUUUAUCAAGACUCUCUCUUGUUCUGUUCCUAUAUUAUCAGUUCUGUUCUUCAUUGGUUCACUGUGCAUUUUCAAAUUUUAUUAUCUCAUUCAUUUAUCUCUUUGGGGUUUCUGUCCUUUUUCAUAAAGACCAUCUCUUUUAUUCUACUGAGGAUACCAAAAUGUUUCCUGAAAUUUUCUUUUGGAGGCUGCACUACAUUAUUUCUUUCUUUCUUUGUAAAGAUCUUAUGUAUUUAUUUG
rnacentral:lncRNA from 1 species